GUGCCUCAGGCCUCCUCUUCAGCAAGCCAGGCUAACCACAUGGUAGUGCUUCCAUGCACUAGCUGUUUAGCUUAUGUAAAAUGUGAACAUGCCUAGGGUCUGUGAAAGUGCAUCCAGGUCUAGUGGUCUAGUGGUAGAUAGACAAUAGGUAGAUGGAUGACUGAUGGAAAGAUUCAUAUAUAGAUUGAUCCAUAGAUAGACAGCAAGGGGAUUUAUUUUAUAUACCAUGGUGGCUCCCAGGCCACCUUCUAGCCUGCCUACCCUGGUAAUUUCCACACAGUCUGUCCUCAAAGCUCUAAGAAUACUCUAAAGACCCACCCUAGAUGGUGUCUGGCUAUGGUGCCCAGGCUGGUCUUGAAAUCCUGGGCUCAAGUAUUCCUUCUGCUUCAGCCUCCCAAAGUGCUGGGAUUACAGGGAUGAGCCACUGUGCCCUGCUGGAAGGGUCAGCUGGACAGAGAAAAAAGAACAUUGAACGAAGACACUCUGAAUUAGAAGGACAGAGAACAAAGACCCUGGCUUAUUUGGAAAUCAACCUCCUUCCCUAAUCUGCCAUGUAUUUAAUAUCUAUCGUUAUUGGUAUUUUAAAUAUAAGGAUGUUUUAAAUAUGACCUCAAAUUCUUUGACAACGCUUCUUCUUGAAUGUGGGCUGGUCCUAAUGACUAGCUUCCAAUGAGUAGAAAUUGCAGAAAUGAUGUGUUAAUUUUGAGGCUACAUCAUAAAAGACAAAGAUAAUGCAGCUUCCAUCUCCGUCCCUCUUCCAUCUUGCUCUGUGGGAAGCCAGCUUCCACUUUGUAAGGACAUUCCAAUAGCCUAAGAAGCGAUGCCCAUGGUUAGGAACCGAGACCUCCUGCCAAAUGACAAAUGAGUGACCAUCUCAGGAACAGCUCCCUUACCCCACCAAGCCUUCAGAGGACUGCAGCUGCAGCCAAAACCUUAGCUGCGACCGCAUGAGAGAGCCUGAGUGAGCCAUUCAACUGAAGUGUUCCCAGACUUCUGACCCACAGAAAUCCACAGAUAAUAAAAGUUUGGUUUCAACCAC